rnacentral:lncRNA from 1 species
GAAGUCACGGGGGUUUCCGGAAUGGUCCGGAAAUGAAGAUUGAUAUCUAUGAUGGUUUCAUUUGGUCACCGGGAAGUUUUUGGCAAUUCCGGCAGUGUACCGGGAGUGAUGAAUGGGUUCUGGGAGUUCACCUGGAGGGGCCCACCCACCCGGGAGUGAGCCCAAUGCCCUAGGGUGGUGCCACAAGUCCUUAGUGGGCUGGUGGAGUUAGCCCAAGGAGCCCAUGGCGCCACAUAAGAAAAUACCAAAAUAGAAAAGAAAAACA